rnacentral:lncRNA from 1 species
CUUCAAUUGAUGAUCUAGGCGCUGAUUUUUGUGGGUUGUGGAAAUGCUUGACCCUUGGCAUGACUGUAUAAACAAAAAGUAAAAACAAAAAAUCAAAAUUGUAAAUUUGUAAUUGACUAAUUGAACAAUUUUACUACACAACUAACAAAUUGGCAAGAAAGCCCUUAAGCAGACAAAGUUUCAAACCCAGCCAGAAGCUCAGAAAAUUGUAAUUGACUAAUUGUAUAUUUCAUAGAACAAUAAAACAUAAACUAAGAUAACCCAUGUAUUUAUAAUAAGCAGGUUUCAAAAUCCAAAAUUGUAAUUGACUAAUUGUAGAACUAUGAAGCACAUGGUAACUGAGUGAGAGGUUGAAAAGGAAAACCUGUGCAACUGCAAAUUACUAUAUUGCUUGAAGGUCUACCCACAACAGAAUCUAACUGAUGCACUCCCUGGUGUUAAGUAAUAAAUAAUCCAGAAACAAAACACAGUAAUGAUAAGUUGAAAGUGAAGAUUUGGAAGGUCAUAAUCAUCAUCAUAUUAUACUGCAGAGAAAAGC